rnacentral:rRNA from 1 species
GACGAACGCUGGCGGCGUGCUUAACACAUGCAAGUCGAGCGGAAAGGCUCCUUCGGGGGUACUCGAGCGGCGAACGGGUGAGUAACACGUGAGUAAUCUGCCCUUCACUUGGGGAUAACCUCCGGAAACGGUGGCUAAUACCCGAUAUGACCAACCUACGCAUGUGGUGUUGGUGGCAAGUUUUUUCGGUGGGGGAUGUGCUCGCGGCCUAUCAGCUUGUUGGUGGGGUAAUGGCCUACCAAGGCUUCGACGGGUAGCCGGCCUGAGAGGGUGGCCGGCCACACUGGGACUGAGACACGGCCCAGACACCUACGGGUGGCAGCAGUAGGGAAUCUUGGACAAUGGGCGCAAGCCUGAUCCAGCCAUGCCGCGUGGGCGAGGAAGGUCUUCGGACCGUAAAGCCCUUUUCUUCGGGACGAACCGCCGAUGGAGGCAAUGCCAUCGGUCUGACGGUACCGAAGGAAUAAGCAACGGCUAACUCCGUGCCAGCCGCCGCCGUAAGAC